rnacentral:tRNA from 1 species
GCAGGCAUAGUUUAGCUAAAAUAUUAGAUUGUGAUUCUGAAGACAGAUGUUAAAACCCUCUUGCCAGCC